CCCACUACCUAGAAACGCGUGUUUAUAACUUUCGCUUAAGGAACUGUCGCAUGCAGUGGCAUGCAAACAGAAACCUUGAUGUGGGUGUAUCACCCUGCCGAUAAUAUUUACAACAGUGAAAAUUUCACUUCAGACAACGUCAUAGCUUGUACGCAAUUUGAAUAAACGUGCUCCAAGGGCAGAUGACGGAUGUUGAGGGUAUGGCGGAAGUCCCUCGCCCAAAAACCGUCACAAACGUCACACAGAAUCCCCCCGAGUGCGCCAAUCAGAGCAUGCGAAAGCCUGUGGGUGGAGUGCAGGAAUGCUUGCUGUCGUGGGAGCCAGGAUAGGCACUCAAUUGUGCUGUUUACACAAACGUGUGUAUUUUCUAUGGUCGUUUGUGAACUAGUGAUAUGGAACAGGUGUGAUCAACUGCAGUUACGCUGUACGUGACAUUUCCGGUCGUUCACGUGUGACAGCCGAAAAGCUGUUCGUGUGCUUGGCUCUGAGUAUACCAACUUUCUAACCACGUGCAGCACGGACUACAACGAAAACAAGUGCCCAACGCCCAUAUAGCUUCUGCAUCCUCAUCCACAGAUGUAAGGGAGGAACACCGAACAAAAUACGUCGUCACACGCCUAAUAAGUCAUAUUCAAUGCUUAUCUAAUAGGUUCCGCAAAGUUUUGCAUAUUAUAGCCAUAAAAGCGUCAACCACGUUAGCUGUCGUUACUUACAGCGAUCGGCUAUUUUUGCAGCACUUCCCCACAGAGUCUGAUAUCAACAUGAUUAGCAAGAGAGGCAGCAGUACAGUCCCCUUGAAAUUUGACAGUUUGGAUAUGUGAUUCCAAUUAGCUAGUCGAGGCAUACAUAGCAUGCUUUUAGUUCCUGACAGAGGAAACAGUUUUGUUCAAAUCACAAAUUACUAUUGUUACAUGGCAAACGACAUCAUGUUUUGAUAAUUAAGAUAAAUAAGUUGCACAGAAAACAAAGUUGUAGAGAUGUGAUACAUCUCUUUCAAAGUUAUUCCAAGUUAUAUACAGUUGUGAAAUUGUGCCUGUGAUUUUGUUCUAGCCGGAGAGGACACAUUAAAACAGAAAAGUGCAGCAGCAAUGGUAGUAGACGUGUAAACAACAAAAUAGAAAUGCAAAUUUAAUUCCACAGAGAUAUAACACCUAACACAUCACGCUCAAAACCAUCCUUGUGUAAACCUUGAAGUUUAGGAAAACUGAAAUUUUGCACAUCCAAUUUCAGUUUCUCAGAUGUGCUUUGGUGCCAGUUACAUUCUUCACAUGCAGAGCGUGGACACCUCGUUGAGUGAUGCGUUGUAUACGAGGGUGUACCGUUUAUUGAGACAUAUAUAUUAGGUCACCAUAGAUGCUGUUGGGAAAUUUCUGCAUGGUGAGGUAACGGGGGGCAUUGAAGCUCACAUAUUUCUGCAGCUACAGCGCUCAAGCGGACUGUCACGGCUGUAACAUCUUUCAUUGUUGUAGUAAACAUGCAGGCGUCAAACAGAGAACAGACAGGCAGAAAGCUUAGCUGAAUGCACUUGAUGAGUUUUAGCUACGUUCUUCUCGCAGUGUUGUCUCCGUGUGAAAAGUGUUGGGUGUCUUGAAAAGGGCCAUUUUUAAAAGCCAUGGUGGUAGAUCUAGGUGUGGCAAGCGCAGGUAGUCGGCGGCUGUCCACACAAUCAUGACUCUUCAUGCUCAAAUAUUGUUAGCCCAUGCAUCAUGUGUGGAGAUCAUAGUAUGCCCGUUUAUGUCAAUACGUCUAUUGAUGCAGAAAUGGUGUAUUUUUGCUCAGCGAGAUCUGAUGUCUGUGAUGUUAGUCUUUUUGUGAAUUCCGGUGUUUCUCAUAGCAGUGUUUCUCAAGUUUAUAAUACCCCUGUCACACGGGCAUUUCGAUCCUUCUCGAAUCCGAUCUGCAUCGAACUUCCCGAGCACGCUCGAGUUUUGACGCUGCUACACGGCCACUUUCAAUGCGCAUUGAAUGGUUGACUUGUGCAAAUGAGUAAACGGGACUCAUUAAUUUCGCGUUUCCUAUAUAACAGCGAUAUUAGUGGUAAUUUAUCGUAUAUCGAUGUAAGCAUCAUUUGUAGCUUCGCGCGCAUGUCCGUCUUAAGUUAUGACAGUUCACCGGGGUCGAGGAUGCAAAUGGCGGCCGUCGAGCAGUCUUGAAAUUCUCAAUCCUGUUAUGGGAACUGUCUUGAGUCAAGCAGGAUCAAAGUUCGAUCCUGCUUGGAAGCGGCCGUGUAGCACCAUCCGAUCUGCAUUGGGUUCAAGCAGGUUCGGUCGAGCAGGAUCGAAAAUGCCCGUGUGACAGGGGUAUUAGUGAGAUCGUUUUUUACACGUUACAAUAAAAUCUGCUUCUGUGAAAUAA